rnacentral:rRNA from 1 species
UAGGGAAUUUUCCACAAUGGGCGAAAGCCUGAUGGAGCAACGCCGCGUGCAGGAUGAAUGCCUUCGGGUUGUAAACUGCUUUUGUUAGUGACGAUUAUGACGGUAACUAACGAAUAAGGGUCUGCUAACUACGUGCCAGCAGCCGCGGUCAUACGUAGGACCCAAGCGUUAUCCGGAAUUACUGGGCGUAAAGAGUUGCGUAGGUGGCAAAGUAAGCGGAUAGUGAAAGCGUGUGGCUCAACCAUACAUCCAUUAUUCGAACUGCUUAGCUAGAGGGCGAGAGAGGUAGAUGGAAUUCCUAAUGUAGGGGUAAUAUCCGUAGAUAUUAGGAGGAACACCGAUGGCGUAGGCAGUCUACUGGCUCGUUUCUGACACUAAGGCACGAAAGCAUGGGGAGCAAACAGG